UGCAGUCGAACGAACUUCCGUUAAUGAUAGUUGAUGCUUGCAUUAACUUGACUUAACAUCAUUUGGAAACAAGUGCUAAUACCGCAUAACAACAAAAACCGCAUGGUUUUUGUUUGAAAGAUUUGGAAACAAGUGCUAAUACCGCAUAACAACAAAAACCGCAUGGUUUUUGUUUGAAAGAUGCGUUUGCAUCACUUUAGGAUGGACCUGCGGCGUAUUAGCUUGUUGGUGGGGUAAUGGCCUACCAAGGCAAUGAUACGUAGCCGACCUGAGAGGGUAAUCGGCCACAAUGGGACUGAGACACGGCCCAUACUCCUACGGGAGGCAGCAGUAGGGAAUCUUCCACAAUGGACGAAAGUCUUCUGAAGGAAGCAAACGCCCGCCUUGAGUGAAGAAAGGGUUUUCGGCUUCGUAAAAAUUCUGUUGUUAAGGAAGAACCAAGUUUGAUAGGAAAUGAUCAAGCUUUGACGGUAUUUAACCAGAAAAGUCACGGCUAACUACGUGCCAGCAGCCGCGGUAAUACGUAGGUGGCAAACGUUGUCCGGAUUUAUUGGGCGUAAAGCGAGCGCAGGCGGUUUUUUAAGUCUGAUGUGAAAGCCUUCGGCUUAACCGAAGAAGUGCAUCGGAAACUGGGAAACUUGAGUGCAGAAGAGGACAGUGGAACUCCAUGUGUAGCGGUGAAAUGCGUAGAUAUAUGGAAGAACACCAGUGGCGAAGGCGGCUGUCUGGUCUGUAACUGACGCUGAGGCUCGAAAGCAUGGGUAGCAAACAGGAUUAGAUACCCUGGUAGUCCAUGCCGUAAACGAUGAAUGCUAGGUGUUAGAGGGUUUCCGCCCUUUAGUGCCGCAGCUAACGCAUUAAGCAUUCCGCCUGGGGAGUACGACCGCAAGGUUGAAACUCAAAGGAAUUGACGGGGACCCGCACAAGUGGUGGAGCAUGUGGUUUAAUUCGAUGCUACGCGAAGAACCUUACCAGGCCUUGACAUCUCCUGCAAAGCUAAGAGAUUAGCCGUUCCCUUCGGGGACAGGAUGACAGGUGGGUGCAUGGUUUGUCGUCAAGCCCGUGUCCUGGAAAUGUUGGGGUUAAGUCCCCGCAACCAACCGCAACCCCCUAUUAUUAAGUUGCCCAGCAUUUAAUUUGGGGCACUCCUAGUGAGAACUGCCCGUUGACAAAACCCGAAAGAAAGGUGGGGACGACGUCAAAUCAUCAUGCCCCUUAUGGCCUGGGCUACACACGUGCUACAAUGGACGGUACAACGAGUCGCAAAACCGCGAGGUCAAGCUAAUCUCUUAAAGCCGUUCUCAGUUCGGAUUGCAGGCUGCAACUCGCCUGCAUGAAGUUGGAAUCACUAGUAAUCGUGGAUCAGCAUGCCACGGUGAAUACGUUCCCGGGUCUUGUACACACCGCCCGUCACACCAUGAGAGUUAGUAAUACCCAAAGUCGGUGUAGUAACCUCUUUGAGGAGCAAACCGCCUAAU
rnacentral:rRNA from 1 species